GUCUUUCAAGAAAGCAAAGGUAGCAGCCAUAAUGUUGAUUGAUAUUUGAGUAGCGUAAUUGUUGGAGCAGAUUUUUGGAAAUCAAGCAGUUUAAACAGAAUUCGUGGAGAAGAUUGUAAGGCAAGAAAAUCUUUGUCAUUUAAUUGUU